rnacentral:rRNA from 1 species
UACGUAAGGUGCGAGCGUUGUCCGGAAUUACUGGGCGUAAAGAGCUCGUAGGUGGUUUGUCGCGUUGUUCGUGAAAACUCACAGCUUAACUGUGGGCGUGCGGGCGAUACGGGCAGACUGGAGUACUGCAGGGGAGACUGGAAUUCCUGGUGUAGCGGUGGAAUGCGCAGAUAUCAGGAAGAACACCCGUGGCGAAGGCGGCUCUCUGGGACGGUACUGACGCUGAGACGCGAAAGCGUGGGGAGCGAACAGG